rnacentral:rRNA from 1 species
CAAGAGCGUAUAUUAAAGUUGUUGCAGUUAAAAGCUCGUAGUUGGAUUUCUGGUACAAUGCGCCUGGCCCGCGACCGUUAGGUCGUGAGUGCCGGUGCGCGUUUGCCAUCCUUCUAGAAAACGUUUCUGCUCAUUUACCGGAGUUGGACUCGCGAUCUAGAUCUUUUACUUUGAAAAAUUAGAGUGAUUUAAAGCAGGCUUUUGUCAUGUGAAUUACAUUAGCAUGGAAUAAUAAUCUAGGACUUCGGUUCUAUUUUGUUGGUUUCUAGUACUGAAGUAAUGAUUGAUAGGGAUAGUUGGGGGUGGCUAGUAGUUGGCCGGCCAGAGGUUGGAAACU